GACGAACGCUGGCGGCGUGCCUAAUACAUGCAAGUAGAACGCUGAAGGAGGAGCUUGCUUCUCCGGAUGAGUUGCGAACGGGUGAGUAACGCGUAGGUAACCUGCCUGGUAGCGGGGGAUAAUUAUUGGAAACGAUAGCUAAUACCUAAUAACAGUAAAUAUUGCAUGAUAUCUGCUUGAAAGGUGCAAUUGCAUCACUACCAGAUGGACAUGCGUUGUAUUAGCUAGUUGGUGAGGUAACGGCUCACCAAGGCGACGAUACAUAGGCGACCUGAGAGGGUGAUCGGCCACACUGGGACUGAGACACGGCCCAGACUCCUACGGGAGGCAGCAGUAGGGAAUCUUCGGCAAUGGACGGAAGUCUGACCGAGCAACGCCGCGUGAGUGAGGAAGGUUUUCGGAUCGUAAAGCUCUGUUGUAAGGGAAGAACGAGUGUGAGAGUGGAAAGUUCACACUGUGGCGGUAUCUUACCAGAAAGGGACGGCUAACUACGUGCCAGCAGCCGCAGUAACAC
rnacentral:rRNA from 1 species